rnacentral:misc_RNA from 1 species
AACUAAAAUAAAUAUUUAUUAUGCUGUCCGGACAACAUAUACAAGUUUUUGUGAUCUUCACAUAUUUGAGGAUGAAAAUAUAAUAAUGUUAUUGUGCUUAAUAAGAGCACUAAAUAAGCUUAAGGAUGGAAAGAUUUUCUCUUUUUACACUUUAGCUUAGGAUAAAUAAGCAAGCUUGGCAAGAACUUGAGCAAUGGUGGGGCGAUCUGAUGGGUGUGGCUCGACACAUUCCAAUCCAAGCUCUGUAAUUGCCGCGGCAGCCUUCCUGGAGCAUCCCGUUUUUUCUAAUAUUGCAUGCAGUAAUUUUAUUUGAGGGUAAUUUUCCCUCGCCCAAUCCCCAAUUCGCCUAGUUGUUCCAAUGUAGUAGUUUUUCUCAUUCUUCGCUAUUAAUUGUAAUAGUAUUUCUCCAAAGCUGUAAAUAUCUUCUGCUUUGCUUACAUCUUCUCCCUCUGGCGUAACAUUCCCGAAAUCAGCUAGUUUGGGGGUAAAAUUCUGAUCGAGCAGAAUAUUGUCCAGCUUUAUAUCCCUGUGGACAAGUGCAGGUGUAAACCCUUGUAACUUCUGUAUGGCACUCGCAACUCCUUUGAUAAUUUUAAGGGUUUUGUGCCAAUCCAGGCCUGAUAACUGACUCAAGGCAGUCCCAUUUUUCAUGAAUGGAUACACAAGGUAGAACCUUUCUUCACUUUCACAGUAGCCUAUCAGCUUGAUGAUGUUUUGAUGCUUUACUUCUGGUAGAUAAUCCUUUUCAGCUCGCCACUGGGUGCUUGCCCUUUCACAUUUGUUGCGGGAGAAUUUGAUGGCUACAUGUUCGCCGUUAAUAUUUCUCUCUUGCCUUCCCUUGAUGAUCCCUUUGUAAACUGGACCAAAUGCUCCUAUCCCAACAAUUUUUCCUUCUCUGAUGUAACCUUUUAAUUCCUCAGCAGUAAACUCUAUUACGUCUCCUGAAUCAUCUCUGCGUCGAAAAAGAUUCAU